GACGAACGCUGGCGGCGUGCUUAACACAUGCAAGUCGAACGGAAAGGCCCCUUUCGGGGGGUACUCGAGAGGCGAACGGGUGUGAAAAACGUGAGUAUCCUGCCCUUUACUCUGGGAUAACUCCUGAAAACUGUGGCUAUAACCGGAUAGAGGCUCCUGCUGCACGUGGGGGGUUGGAAAGUUUCGGCGGUUGGGGAUGGACUCGCGGCUUUUCUCAUUGUUGGUGGGGUAGAGGCUUACCAAGGCUUUGACGGGUAGCCGGCCUGGGAGGGUGACCGGCCACAUUGGGGCUGGGAUACGGCCCAGACUCCUACGGGGGGCAGCAGUGGGGAAUAUUGCACAAUGGGUGGGAGCCUGAUGCCGCAACGCCGUGUGCGGGAUGACGGCCUUCGGGUUGGAAACCGCUUUCGCUCAUGACGAAGCUUUGUGUGACGGUAGUGGGUAAAGAAGCACCGGCUAACUACGUG
rnacentral:rRNA from 1 species